GACGAACGCUGGCGGCGUGCUUAACACAUGCAAGUCGAACGGAAAGGCCCUGCUUUUGUGGGGUGCUCGAGUGGCGAACGGGUGAGUAACACGUGAGUAACCUGCCCUUGACUUUGGGAUAACUUCAGGAAACUGGGGCUAAUACCGGAUAGGAGCUCCUGCUGCAUGGUGGGGGUUGGAAAGUUUCGGCGGUUGGGGAUGGACUCGCGGCUUAUCAGCUUGUUGGUGGGGUAGUGGCUUACCAAGGCUUUGACCGGUAGCCGGCCUGAGAGGGUUACCGGCCACGUUGGGACGGAGAUACGGCCCAGACUCCUACGGGAGGCAGCAGUGGGGAGUAGUGCACAGUGGGCGGAGGCCUGAUGCAACAACGCCGCGUGCGGGAUGACGGCCUUCGGGUUGUAAACCGCUUUCGCCUGUGACGAAGCGUGAGUGACGGUAAUGGGUAAAGAAGCACCGGCUAACUACGUG
rnacentral:rRNA from 1 species